GUGCCAGCCGCCGCGGUAAUACCGGCAGCCCGAGUGAUGGCCGAUCUUAUUGGGCCUAAAGCGUCCGUAGCUGGCCGCACGAGUCCGUCGGGAAAUCCGCCCGCUCAACGGGCGGCCGUCCAGCGGAAACUGUCUGGCUUGGGGCCGGAGGACUCGAGGGGUACGUCCGGGGUAGGAGUGAAAUCCCGUAAUCCUGGACGGACCACCGGUGGCGAAAGCGCCUCGAGAGGACGGACCCGACGGUGAGGAACGAAAGCCAGGGUCUCGAACCGGAUUAGAUACCCGAGUAGUCC
rnacentral:rRNA from 1 species